rnacentral:rRNA from 2 species
GCAUGCGAUCAUACCAGCACUAAAGCACCGGAUCCCAUCAGAACUCCGAAGUUAAGCGUGCUUGGGCGAGAGUAGUACUAGGAUGGGUGACCUCCUGGGAAGUCCUCGUGUUGCAUUCC